rnacentral:tRNA from 16 species
UGGUGGUUCAGUGGAAGAUCACUGGGUUCCGACGGGAGUUUCAUGGGUUCGAUUCCCACAUA